AACGCAUCUUGCACCUUUGGGUAUUCCCAAAGGUAUGUCUGUCUGAGUGUCAUUUGAACUCUCAAAGCCCCUUUCCUUUCACCAGGUCUGGAUGCUUUGGAUCAUGGGUGCUUGCUGACUUUGUCUGCUCACCUCAAAUCGAAUGUGGCGGUUUUCUCUAAAAGCCUAUUGUGGGUUUGACCCGGAGUGAUAGAAGUCUUUCGAGAUCUCUGGGAACACCAGCUGGUGACCUGCUGAGGUGGGAGGAAUUGCCUAAUUGGACUCAUUUGACGUUUUUGACCUCAGAUCAGGCAGGAUUACCCGCUGAACUUAA
rnacentral:misc_RNA from 1 species